GAUGAACGCUAGCUACAGGCUUAACACAUGCAAGUCGAGGGGCAGCGGUAUCGAAAGCUUGCUUUCGGUAGCCGGCGACCGGCGCACGGGUGAGUAACGCGUAUCGAACCUGCCUCAUACUCGGGAAUAGCCUUGCGAAAGUAAGAUUAAUGCCCGGUGUUUUCAGAGUCCCGCAUGAGGCUUUGAACAAAGAUUUAUCGGUAUGAGAUGGCGAUGCGUCCCAUUAGCUUGUUGGCGGGGUAACGGCCCACCAAGGCAUCGAUGGGUAGGGGUUCUGAGAGGAAGGUCCCCCACAUUGGAACUGAGACACGGUCCAAACGCCUACGGGAGGCAGCAGUGAGGAAGAUUGGGCAAUGGGCGGAAGCCUGAACCAGCCAAGUAGCGUGCAGGAAGACGGCCCUCCGGGUUGUAAACUGCUUUUAGUUGGGAAUAAAACGGGGCUCGUGAGCCCCCUUGCAUGUACCAUCAGAAAAAGGACCGGCUAAUUCCGUG
rnacentral:rRNA from 1 species